CGCGCCGUCCACCUCGUCCUUUUCCUCCCGCCCACCUCUCUCUCUCUCUCUCUCUCUCCCUCCAAACCCUAGCCUCGCUCCUGCCUCCCUGCCCUGCUGCCGUCGAAAUCCAACCCCACGCCGCCGCCAUUUCCUUCGCCUAGCAGGACGCCGCUGCCCCGCCAUCUCCUCGACCCAGCCGACCACCCCUUCUCUGUGGAACGCGGGCCGAGGAGAAGAUGAGUUUGUUGGGCAGCUGCGCCCGCCAAGCACCACCAGGCGGAGGAGGAGGAGUCUGUGCCCUCCUCCAUCAGCGCAAAGAUCCUUCGCGAGGCGCUCAAGCCGCAGCAGGAGGAGGGCCUCGCCGACUCCUUCACUCUGCCGCCUGUGUCCGCUCCCGUCCCCGUCGACGACGGCGAAGAUGACAGGAUGUCGACGAGUUUGACGGCUUCAACGCGCUCAGCGAGUACGAUGACGGCGUGGUGCGUGCUCUCGAUAAAUAAAAUGUGACAGUGUCUUUGGGUGUGUCCGUGGCACUGUGGCUGACGCAGCACCAGAAGAUCAUAGAUAAGGACGCCACGGUCUCAACAGAAGGACGGCCUGCCGUCAAGUUGGACAACAGAAUCAUAGAACUCUACAAAGUGUAUGGGUUGGCCAGCUCUUGAGCAAAUUCGUCAUAGUGACCGCCAAUGGCCAACAAGUCCAUCUCUUUCUCAAGCUCGAUUCCCUCUUAUUUUGCAGACUGGAGGUGGACUGAAAGGGUAUAUUUCCUUCAAGGGUAGUGAUGAGCUUGCUGGUUUCUGUGCGGCUGAGCAGGCAGUUGAUGAUUGGACGGCAAAGGCAAUGGCAGUGACCGUUCCAUUUGAAGAGGCUCAUGCUGCCUGGAUUUUGUUAAGCAAUCCUACAUUAAGUUAAUUCAAGAAGUUAAUCACUAAUUAGUUGUUGUAUUUGCGUUCCUAGAUGGAUCUUUUGACAUUCCACAACUUUAUUAUUCUUACUUGGGAUCAUUUGAUAUGUGUCGUUGAACAUAACAGAGCACUCUUAGGAAUUCCUAGGUGAUUUAACUCGGCUUCUCUAUGCACGCCAAUAUGAAAGGUAUUAGCUGCAAUAUAUAGAAAAUUGGUUCGGUACCACACAAAAAAAACCAUUUCGGGAUAAUACCACCAUAUAGACUAGGUUCAUUUUAAUACCACUAAAUGAGAUAAAAUACUACCUGCUUAUACCAGUCGAGUCUCCACUGUUAGUAUGAUAUGUGGUCAAAUUUGCAUGUCCUUGAAAAUCUUUACAUUUUGAUAAUUGUUAUAUUUGGAUGUUACCAAGAUUUAGGUUUAGAAUAUCUAAGAUUUCCAUCUAUGUUUUUUGUUAGAACAGUAAACAAGGAUAUGUUUCUUCUCUCGGAUCUAGAAACCAUGAUUCCUCUUUUCUUCACUUGUGAUGAUUUUUUAUAUAAAUUUCUUUUAGUAGUGAGUGAGCUUCUGAAAUGAAUAAUUUUGGCAAAAAUAUCAAUUCGAUCUUCCCGUUCUGCGGCUCAAAGGUUGACGACUACCAUCGGGAACUGCCCAGUUAAGUCUACCAGGUUGUAAGCUCCUCCAUGUUGUUCCUUCGGUUACUUUUAAUAAGAUUUGCUCGAUUGUUGGAAUGGUUAGUUCCUGAACGACCAAGUAACACAUUGGAAGAUGGAAAAACAUGACCGCAUCAUUAAGCCAUUCUUUUGCAUGCACAUGAUGUAGAUGUUUAGUCUCAAGUCUGCGGUUUGGGAAGUUCUUUAACAGACCUCUGGUAGAUCUUCUGAUGUUUAGCAACGCAUUUCUGCAGGGUUCCACAUGCUAACCUCAGCAAGCACAAACCACAGGGUCGUCUUCCUCUCUAACCGCUUCCGCACCGUCAUGGAUGUCGCAGACCUCAUCCUCGAGAAGCUCCUCUACCAGUGUUCUGCAGUGAUGGAAGAGGUUCUAAUGAUCUUCCAGCCAGGGAGGAAGUGAACUCACAAAAAUAUGAGGCAGGCUAUUUCCUCUGCCAGAAUGAAAGGGGAAUAUGCUGAGAGGUGGGGACAACCAAAAUGCCAAACGAGAAGCAAUGGAAGGCAAUGCUACUGUAGUUUAUACGCUCAGGUUUCUUUGCUUCUGUUUGGCCUUUGUCAGUUAUCAAUGUUUGAAUAAGGUGGCAGCCAGCAGCGCCGGAAGCUCGAGGCUCUGGUUUCCCUUCCAGCAGUGCGGGGCUGCCAUCCCGAAGUAGCAUCGACUGAGCUCCCAACCCCGAUGCUAAGCCGCGUUCCUGCCGGCCUUCUGUAGAUUUGUUGAGGCCCAGUCCGACCAUGAGUUCUGCUACCACAAGGUGAUUGGCCCACAACUCAUCUCUUCACUGCUCUACAUCUAGAUCGUGCGACCAUCAACUCCCCGUCCAUACCACAACUUUCUCAAGUUGUAUUUUGAGCAUUGGCAUCUCUAGCCGAGCUGCGCAAGCAGAAAGCUGAGCAGGAGCAGCUCGGGGAUGAAGCAAAGGUCUAAAAUGCUGAAUCUCCCAAUAAAGUGGUACUAUAUAUCUCAGGAUGACAAAGUUCUGAACUAAGUAGCAAAAUGAGGCCAAGAGCUCGAUGACGUUGUAGGUAUCGCCCCCUUCAGCGUCCAGGAACCAGGCAAAACGCCACUGUCAAUGUGAGCGGCGACGAGUGAAUGGACAGCGACAUCGUGCACCAUGGCAUGAUGAUCAGAUCGGCGACGUAAUCGUUGCGGCGGACAAUGCCAAGGAUCAGUUCUUUUCUGUCAAUAUUUGUUUGGGAUUCUAUGUCAAUCUUUUUCUGGAAACUUCUAUUUUGUUGAUUCAAAUUAUUUAAGAAAUUAUGAAAUUUGGUAUCUUUUGUAAGUAGAUGUCAGUGUCAAGGCGUCUUCUGUAUAUUUCUCAUUCUCAGAAGGUUGCCAAUUAUAGCGUUGUUCUAAACCUUGAAACUUUCGGUGCAUUAUGCUACAUAUCAUAUGAAAUGCAUCAGUGGAAUGCACUGAAUCUUCACGACUUCGUUACCGGGUUGGAUAUGAUCACUCGGCAGGGCUGUGGCAUGCCGCACUUUCUACCAACCGAUCAUUACUUGCUUGACCACAUCGUUUGGACUGGCAUAUCUUUUGUUGUCUUGCUUCUAUUAAAAGUUAAUGUUUCUUCUUUCUUUUAUUUUGUUUUCUUGUUUGAAUAUAUAUGCUAAAUAAGGAUUCUUACC